AUACGGAGGAUCCGAGCGUUAUCCGGAUUUAUUGGGUUUACAGGGUGCGCAGGCGGCCAUUUAAGUCAGCGGUUAAAUCGUGGGGCUCAACCCCAUUCUGCCGUUGAUACUGGGUGGCUUGAUUGCGGUCGAGGUUGGCGGAAUUGGGUGUGUAGCGGUGAAAUGCAUAGAUAUGACGAAGAACACCGUUUGCGUAAGCAGCUGACCAGACCGCAAAUGACGCUCAUGCACGAAAGUGCGGGGAUCGAACAGGAUUAGAUACCCUGGUAGUCCUGGCCGUAAACGAUGAAUGCUAGGUGUGGGUGUCGAGAGGCAUCCGUGGCGGAGUUAACGCGAUAAUCAUUCCGCCUGGGGAGUACGAUCGCAAGAUUGAAACUUAAAGGAAUUGACGGGG
rnacentral:rRNA from 1 species